UACGUAGGGUGCGAGCGUUAAUCGGAAUUACUGGGCGUAAAGCGUGCGCAGGCGGUUCGUUGUGUCUGCUGUGAAAUCCCCGGGCUCAACCUGGGAAUGGCAGUGGAAACUGGCGAGCUUGAGUGUGGCAGAGGGGGGUGGAAUUCCGCGUGUAGCAGUGAAAUGCGUAGAGAUGCGGAGGAACACCGAUGGCGAAGGCAACCCCCUGGGCUGACACUGACGCUCAGGCACGAAAGCGUGGGGAGCGAACAGG
rnacentral:rRNA from 1 species